UGUAACCGGAAGUAAUUGAGGCAGAACACGGCAUUAACUACAGUCCACGAAAAUAGGAUAUACAAUAAAUAAAUUCAAUUACACUUCAGCAGGAUGGGAAGCAAGAUGUUCCCGUCUUUUGAGAGUCUUCACAAAAGACAAAGACAGAUGCCAGGAGGCGGCCGCCAGCUAUGGACGGGAGCUUGAAUCCAUGGGUCGAAGAUGCGGCGAUAUGCUUAUCAAGGCAUGUUUAAUUCAUGGCUGUGGCCUCCUGACCCCUAAUGAAUACUAAUGACAGAUGUAAUAAUUUGGAUAUUUCUUUUUGCAAAUAUUUAUCAAACAUUUGCGAAAUGAAGCACCCCCCUUGGUCGAUCG
rnacentral:lncRNA from 1 species